rnacentral:tRNA from 1 species
GGCUUUAUAGUUUAAAUAGAAUACUGGUUUUGUAAAUCAGGGGUGGGUUUACCCUUAGGCCU